rnacentral:piRNA from 1 species
AUGUUGUGAUGAUGGGCAAAAUGUUCAACU